rnacentral:rRNA from 1 species
AUACGGAGGAUCCGAGCGUUAUCCGGAUUUAUUGGGUUUAAAGGGUGCGCAGGCGGGAGAUUAAGUCGGCGGUGAAAUUUUGCAGCUCAACUGUAAAAGUGCCUUCGGAACUGGUUUCCUUGAGUGGAGAUGAAGUAGGCGGAAUUUGUGGGGUAGCGGUGAAAUGCAUAGAUAUCACGAGGAACUCCGAUUGCGCAGGCAGCUUACUAAACUACUACUGACGCUCAGGCACGAAGGCGUGGGGAUCAAACAGGAUUAGAUACCCUGGUAGUCCACGCAGUAAACGAUGAUUACUAGCUGUUUGCGAUACAAUGUAAGCGGCUGAGCGAAAGCGUUAAGUAAUCCACCUGGGGAGUACGUUCGCAAGAAUGAAACUCAAAGGAAUUGACGGGG